UACGUAGGGUGCGAGCGUUGUCCGGAAUUAUUGGGCGUAAAGAGCUCGUAGGCGGCCUGUCGCGUCGGAUGUGAAAGCCCGGGGCUUAACCCCGGGUCUGCAUUCGAUACGGGCAGGCUAGAGUGUGGUAGGGGAGAUCGGAAUUCCCGGUGUAGCGGUGAAAUGCGCAGAUAUCGGGAGGAACACCGGUGGCGAAGGCGGAUCUCUGGGCCUGUCCUGACGCUGAGGCGCGAAAGCCAGGGGAGCGAACGGGG
rnacentral:rRNA from 1 species